UCGGGAAUUUUGGGCAAUGGGGGCAACCCUGAUCCAGCCAUGCCGCGUGUGUGAAGAAGGCCUUCGGGUUGUAAAGCACUUUCGGACGGAACGAAAUCGCACGGGUGAAUAUCCCGUGUGGAUGACGGUACCGUAAGAAGAAGCACCGGCUAACUACGUGCCAGCAGCCGCGGUAAUACGUAGGGUGCGAGCGUUAAUCGGAAUUACUGGGCGUAAAGUGUGCGCAGGCGGCUUCGCAAGUCGAGUGUGAAAUCCCCGGGCUUAACUUGGGAACGGCGCUCGAAACUACGGAGCUAGAGUAUGGCAGAGGGAGGUGGAAUUCCACGUGUAGCGGUGAAAUGCGUAGAGAUGUGGAGGAACACCAAUGGCGAAGGCAGCCUCCUGGGCCAAUACUGACGCUCAUGCACGAAAGCGUGGGGAGCAAACAGGAUUAGAUACCCUGGUAGUCCCUGAGCGGGCUGGCAAGGCGCAU
rnacentral:rRNA from 1 species